rnacentral:rRNA from 1 species
AGCGAACGCUGGCGGCAGGCUUAACACAUGCAAGUCGAGCGGGCCUUUCGGGGUCAGCGGCGGACGGGUGAGUAACGCGUGGGAACGUGCCCUCUGGUUCGGAGUAACUCAGGGAAACUUGAGCUAAUACCGGAUACGCCCUUUUGGGGAAAGGCUUGCUGCCGGAGGAUCGGCCCGCGUCUGAUUAGCUAGUUGGUGAGGUAACGGCUCACCAAGGCGACGAUCAGUAGCUGGUCUGAGAGGAUGAUCAGCCACACUGGGACUGAGACACGGCCCAGACUCCUACGGGAGGCAGCAGUGGGGAAUAUUGGACAAUGGGCGCAAGCCUGAUCCAGCCAUGCCGCGUGAGUGAUGAAGGCCUUAGGGUUGUAAAGCUCUUUUAUCCGGGACGAUAAUGACGGUACCGGAGGAAUAAGCCCCGGCUAACUUCGUG